rnacentral:rRNA from 1 species
AUGGUAUUCUAUUUAGAUCAUCAGGCUUAUGCGAGCAACACUACAAACAGCACGGAAAGUAGUCAAGAACUGAUAAGUAAGAUUUCCCAUCAAUUAGAUGAUUUAGCUCAGCAGCGAGGAGUAGUUUUUGAGGAUAGGCCUGGUUCUUAUUAUCCUUAUUCCGGAGGCAAUCCUUAUGUUGCUCCUACAUGCCAUAUUUGUGGAUUUCAGGGCCAUUCGCCCGCUGAAUGUCAGCGUGGUUAUUCUCACACUCCAGAUUGUUUUGGCAUGAGCUUCGCUCAAGAGCAUAGCUCAUACCAAAACAAUUACUCACAUGGGUGGCCUGAAAACCCAAAUAUGUCAUAUAGGAGCAACAACCCUGAGAUCUCACCGUUUGCUUCUAGUAAUCAUAUGCAGGGAUUUAGGUAUGAAGAGGAGAGCCACAAUUAUGCUCCACAACAGUCUUAUUCAGCUCCUAUUCAUAUACCUCAGCACCAGGAGAUGUUGCCAAUGGAGUUAAAUGGUCCUCCAUUUGGUCAACCAACACCUUCAACACAAGUGCCUACUCAAGAUGAGUUUGAUGACAUAGACAAGCUCGCACUUUUGAGUCUCGAGUUCACUUGGAGUGCCAAGGAUGAUCCUAUUAGGAAGGUUAUACUAGAUGAAAUGAAGAAGAUCAAGAGUGGGAAUGAGCUAGUGGAAGAAGUAAAGAAGAUUGAGAAGAACAUCAAUGCUGGCAGUACUAUUUCUUCACAGCUUGAGCUGAGUAAUUCUGGGAUUCCCCUUGAUACAUGUGAGGUUCCAAUACCGUCACAUCCAGCUGAGCAAGAUAGCAGGUGCCUUGAGCACGAGAUACCUCAGAUUGAAGAAGAUGAACUAGAAGACAAGGAACAAGAUGAUCAAGAGCUGCAAUUCCCAAGUGAUCAAGUUGAAGACUCAUCAUCUACUACUCCUGAAGAAGUACAAGAAGCUGUUGUAGAUGAAGAUGAAGAACCUGAGAUUCAUUUGCCUAUUGUCAUACCAGAGCGUGAUGUGUCAGGUUUAUCUAAUCCUCUUAACGACAUGUCUUCAUAUGACUUGUUUGCUACUACCUUGCAUUGCAUGAUGUUGGGGAACGUAGUAAUUUCAAAAAAAUUCCUACGCACACGCAAGAUCAUGGUGAUGGCAUAG